CCACAGUGCUAAGCUCUUUCAAAGGUGUAUCUCACUGAAUCGUCACAACAAACCUAUGGUGAAGGAUGGCUGUGACCCCGUUUUAUAGAUGAAGAUAUUCAGGAUCAAAGAGGUUAAGUAAUGUUCCUAAGUUGGUAAGUAGCAGUGACAGGAUAUGAAUCAAGGUGAUUGCAUUACCAAAGCCUAUACUAGGACAGUUGGGAUUUUAACCUGAGGCUACUGGAAGCUACUAAAAAUUUUUAAACUGGGCAGUCCUGUGGUCAAAGUUGCUCCAUAGACAUCAGCGUGGAAAACAGGGAGGAACAUUUAACAGAUGAUUGCUUUAGUCCAGGUGAGAAAUACUGAGACAUGUAACAUAUUGAAGAUAAAAGUAGUGUGGGAGACAUGAGAAGUGGAGGAGGUCCUAUGAGGGUAGUGGCAGUCAGCCUUGAUUUUUGAUUGGAUGUGGAAAGAAGGAGAGGGAAUUUCUGCCAUCAUUCAUCAGCGCUGCAGCAGGCACUGGCAUGUGCAUUAUUACUCAGGGCUCUAAGUAGAGAAAGAAAACAACCGCCCGGGUGCCUUCUAACCUAAAGCAUAUUUCCUAAGUCCUUCCACUCUCAGUCUAGACUGAAAACAAACAAAACAGACUCCUCCUGAAGCUCUCAGAUCUCUCACCUUGCAAUUCUGGCUUUCAACCUCCACGCCAAGCUUCCUUUCCCACACCCUAAACCCUUGUACUGGGGAUUACAAUGAUCGUUUGUGUGCACUAGGCGAUUGUUCCUUCCACAUCAGGGGCCUUGGGAGGAUGACCUAAGGCUGCUUUCUCCUGUCCUUACUUCCUCUAUCCAGUGCUGUAACUACUACACAUGCAAUCAGCUGGUUCUUAUAAAGGAUGCUGACCAGUGCUGUGAUGUUGUCUUCAGGAAGCAGGGGGAUCUCCAAAUAAGGAAAAGGGAAAGAUGACACACCAACAUGGCUGCAGAGCACAAGUACCUUGACCUGUAAAGACAUCUGCAAAUAUUCUGAUCGCUUUAUAAACUAUCUUAAGUAAGUGUGUGUGUGUGUGUGUGUGUUUCAAGUUUGGGUUGCUUUUCUGGAUCAAGUUUUUAAAAACUGUCACUGUUAAAAAAAAAA
rnacentral:lncRNA from 1 species